rnacentral:rRNA from 1 species
GAUUAACGCUAGCGGCAGGCCUAAUACAUGCAAGUCGAACGGCAGCACGGGUAGCAAUACCUGGUGGCGAGUGGCGCACGGGUGCGUAACGCGUAUGCAAUCUACCUGUAACUGGGGAAUAGCCUUCCGAAAGGAAGAUUAACACCGCAUAAAAUCACGAAGCGGCAUCGUUUUGUGAUCAAAUCUCCGGAGGUUACAGAUGAGCAUGCGUGACAUUAGCUAGUUGGUGAGGUAACGGCCCACCAAGGCUACGAUGUCUAGGGGGUCGU